GCAAAUUACAAAAAACAGGCUAAGAUAUUUUCGCGAUAUUACAUAGUUUAAAAUAUUGUUUAUUAGCUGUCACUACUCACUAGCGAAGUUUAUGGAUCUAGUUUAUUUUCUGCCGAUCUUUCCGCAACGCGAGGAUUGUCUACCGCUAAUGAACAUUUCUCAUUUCUAUUUACCUAGUCCAUGGAUUUUACUCCAUGCAAUGGUAUUAAAUUUUUGAGAGACUCAAAUUUUUUUGUUUGUUUACCUUAUAAUUAUUAUAUAUUUUUUCUUUGUGCUUUAAUCUCACUCGGAUAAAUAUGGCUAAUCAUAAACUAUCCUUCAUUCGAUUAUUCUAUUAAUUAUGGUUAACCAAUGUGGGUGAUUUGAUAAACUUAUAAUUUUCAAAAAUUUAGAUGUGUAAAAAUAGAAAAUAUUUACAAUGAUUGUUUGAACUUAGAUUUGG
rnacentral:lncRNA from 1 species